rnacentral:misc_RNA from 1 species
AAGUCGUAACAAGGUUUCCGUAGGUGAACCUGCGGAAGGAUCAUUACCGAGAACAUGCCCUUUAUGGGUAUAUCUCCCACCCAUUGUUUACAAUACCUUUGUUGCUUUGGCAGGCCCGUCUUGUGACCACCGGCUUUGGCUGGUCUGUGCCUGCCAGAGGACCCCAAAACUCUUUAUUAUGUUGUCCGAGUACUAUGUAAAUAGUUAAAACUUUCAACAACGGAUCUCUUGGUUCUG